rnacentral:rRNA from 1 species
AGUGAACGCUGGCGGUAGGCCUAACACAUGCCAGUCGAACGGCAGCACAGUAAUAGCUUGCUCUUACGGGUUGCGAAUGGCGUACGGGUGAGGAAUACAUCGGAAUCUACUUUUUCGUGUGGGAUAACGUAGGGAAAGUUACUCUAAUACCGCAUACGACCUACGGGUGAAAGCAUUGGAUCUUCUGACCUGGCGCGGUUGGAUUAGCCGCUGUCGGAUUAGCUAGUUGGCGGGGUAAAUGCCCACCAAGGCGACGAUCCGUAGCUGGUCUGAGAGGAGGAUCAGCCACCUUGGAACUGAGACACGGUCCAGACUACUACGGGAGGGAGCAGUGGGGAACAUUGGACAAUGGGCGCAAGCCUGAUACAGCCAUACCGAGUGGGUGAAGGAGGCCUCGCGGUUGUAAAGCCGUUUUGUUGGGAAAGAACAGCAGCAGGUUAAUACGAAGCUGUUCUGACGGUACUGAAAGAAUAAGCACCGGCUAACUUCGUG